rnacentral:rRNA from 1 species
UGGCGUCAGGACGAACGCUGGCGGCGUGCUUAACACAUGCAAGUCGAACGAGGAUUACAUUGGAAGGGCUUCGGCCUGGAAGAUGUAAUUCGAGUGGCGGACGGGUGAGUAACGCGUGAACAAUCUGUCCCGGACAGGGGAAUAACACUUGGAAACAGGUGCUAAUACCGCAUAAGACCACGCCCUCGCAUGGGGGAGGGGUAAAAGGAGCAAUCCGGUUCGGGGUGAGUUCGCGUCCGAUUAGAUAGUUGGUGAGGUAACGGCCCACCAAGUCGACGAUCGGUAGCCGACCUGAGAGGGUGAUCGGCCACAUUGGAACUGAGAGACGGUCCAAACUCCUACGGGAGGCAGCAGUGGGGAAUAUUGGGCAAUGGGGCCGAAAGCCUGACCCAGCAACGCCGCGUGAGUGAAGAAGGCUUUCGGGUUGUAAAGCUCUGUUAUAGGGGACGAAGGAAGUGACGGUACCCUAUAAGGAAGCCCCGGCUAACUACGUGCCAGCCGCCGC